AGUGGCAGACGGGUGAGUAACACGUGGGAACCUUCCUAGGGGUACGGAACAACUCAGGGAAACUUGAGCUAAUACCGUAUACGUCCGUGAGGAGAAAGAUUUAUCGCCCUUAGACGGGCCCGCGUCGGAUUAGCUAGUUGGUGGGGUAACGGCCUACCAAGGCGACGAUCCGUAGCUGAUCUUAGAGGAUGAUCAGCCACACUGGGACUGAGACACGGCCCAGACUCCUACGGGAGGCAGCAGUGGGGAAUCUUGGACAAUGGGCGCAAGCCUGAUCCAGCCAUGCCGCGUGAGUGAAGAAGGUCUUCGGAUUGUAAAGCUCUUUUGCCAGGGACGAUAAUGACGGUACCUGGAGAAUAAGCCCCGGCAAACUUCGUGCCAGCAGCCGCGGUAAUACGAAGGGGGCUAGCGUUGUUCGGAAUUACUGGGCGUAAAGCGCACGUAGGCGGGUCGUUAAGUCAGGGGUGAAAUCCCGGAGCUCAACUCCGGAACUGCCUUUGAUACUGGCGAUCUCGAGAUCGGAAGAGGUGAGUGGAAUUCCCAGUGUAGAGGUGAAAUUCGUAGAUAUUGGGAAGAACACCAGUGGCGAAGGCGGCUCACUGGUCCGAUACUGACGCUGAGGUGCGAAAGCGUGGGGAGCAAACAGGUUUAGAUACCCUGGUAGUCCACGCCGUAAACUAUGGAAGCUAGCCGUCAGUCA
rnacentral:rRNA from 1 species